GUCUCUUGUGAAAGCAAAUCAACAAGAUAGAAGGGUUGCAACUCAUUUUGCCAAAGAAUUGAAGGUAAUUCAUUGAUAGAGUGAUUUUCCAACAAUUUAAUUAGUUGCUUUUGUGUUGAGUGUAUUUUGAACAUCUCUGUCAAAUAAUAUAAGUGUUGAUGCAGCAAAGAACUGCCUCAAUCUUGUAUUAAACAAGGAUUUGGCAUUUCAUCACUUGUCUCUUUCUGCCCUGCUGGGAGAAAACAUCUACAACUACAAUUUUAGAGAGCUACUUGCCCAUCCUAUUUCUUUGUUUCAAGACAUUUGAAAGUCUUGUUAUGAUUAAGCCCUGCAUUUGAGGGUUGUGGAUUCAAAAUGACAUCAAUAUCUACUCAGCAACAGUUCUGAUAUGCCCAGCCACCGUCGAAGCCUAUUAGAGCAUUCACUUGGCAAGGUCACUGAGAACUUAUAUUUUUGGUUGGUGUCUCCCGGUAUUAAAGUUUAUCAUGCUUCUUUUUAAUUGUGAAACUUCUCAAUAUUACUCCCAAAGACAUGACUUUAAAUUUUUUAAAGAGUUACAAGCUUGUCUUAUAGCUUUCAAAGAAUUAGCUUGAUGUGGUGAAGGUCAAAUGACAUUUGACGUAAUUCUGUAUGGGUAGUUCAAUGACAAUUUUCUAGAGGUUAAGAAGCUCUACAUCCAGAGGAAAGAUUAAAUCAAAUAGUCGAAAAAGAUCUAAUGACAAAGUGACUUUGUUAAAUGGGAAGAAAUGGUCCACGUUGCACUCAUCUGUAGACAUUUUAGGUGACUCUGUUGAUUAUGUGUAAUUGCAUAUGCCUCUAAGCAUUAGUACUCAGGCAUCACAUGAGCUAAACUAAGACUUUUCUCUUGUACUAAAGAUCAACGAUUUAGAAACUGA